GUGUGUCUCAACUCACGGCAACAUUUGUGCGUCUUCCAGAUUGUGCGCUACAAGGAGUUGCUGAAAGAUAUUGGGCUCAACAAGAGAAUCACCCCCGAAAACUACAACCUGACCAAAGCCUUCCUUGCGGAUGAUAUUUGCAAAUUCUCUGACAACACAUUUCCGAAACUGGAUCUGAAAACAGAAAAAACGACCGCCGUUGGCCUCCCGGCGCUCACGCAGGGCCUCAACUCAUCUGUGGCGGAGCGCCAGAGACGGAAUCGCGCCGUGCACAGAAGCCACGUCAAGGGCACGGUGCGAUGAGAUGAUCCAGAUGCUCACCUCUCAGCUGCAACUUCGGGGACAUGCAAAGUCAGUGUCCGUGUGAUGUCACAGAUCAAACAGCCAAUCAAAAAGCCGUGGAAGAACCGAGAGAAAUGUUUUCGCUGAGUAGAAGCUUGUAAACGGCAGGGAUUUACAGUACCUAAUGUCACCAAAGACACAUAUAUAUAUAUAUAUCAUUGUCAAUUAUUCUCAAAGCAUCCCCUGAUCUUAAGCCCCCCAAAAGAGCUACGAAAAACUCCCAAAAACCCUACUAAAAAAAAUCAUUUUAUUUAAUCGUAGUUAUAUAUUUAUCAUAAAUGUAUCAUUUAUUCAUAUUACCUUACCAUACUACCAUAUAACCCUAACCCUAAAUAUUUCUGACACGUCACCGGUCCGUAGCUUUCCAUUCGCUUGUGAGUUACUCCAUCAUACCAUAUUCAUUCCGGGUAUUGAGAGCCAGGCUUCCUUAGUGGAGUUGUUGGUCCUCUGGGAUCUCACCCCCAGCAACACGGGUUUCAAUUUUGGUCGGGCCUAAAAAAAUUAUUAUGCCCUGCAUUUGACUAGGGGUGUAACGAUACAUCGAUACGCAUCGAUUAAUCGAUCGUAGAGCACUAGAUCGCGAUACAUCGUGAAUGAACCGCAGCAGGCUUUAAGAUAUCGGCAAAUAUCGUCUCGUAGUUCUUUAUAUCGAUAUUAUAUCGUAGCGUGAAACAACCCGCCAUUUACACCCCUACAUUUGACCCAUCCCCAUGUGAUCGAGGCUUCCGUAGUGUGGUGGUUUGUGUUCUGGGCUUUCACUCCAGCGACAUGGGUUUGAGUCUGGGUCCAGCCUAAAAAAUAAAUUUGCAACACAGUUGAUCGUGUAUUUCCCCAUUUAACCAUCCACCUCCCUGAAGCUUAGGGUUGGGUUUAGAGCUAAGGUUAGGUUUAGAGCUAGUGUUUGGGUUAGAGCUGGGGCUAGGGUUAGCGUUAGAGCUAGGGUUAAGGUAAGA